rnacentral:tRNA from 1 species
CGGGACGUGGCUCAGCCUGGUAGAGCGCUGCGUUCGGGACGCAGAAGUCGCUGGUUCAAAUCCAGUCGUCCCGACCA